rnacentral:misc_RNA from 1 species
AAAAAUCUCUCGUGCUUUCUGGUUACUCUCUCUCGCCACUUGCUCUCUUUCUGUCACUCUCACUCUCUGGCUCUCGCUCCCUCUCUAACACUCUGUCUAUUUGUGGCUCGCUCCAAACUCACAUUCUUUACCCGAUUUUAUCACUCAAAUUUUAGGUUUAUUUACAUUUAAAAUUUUUUUAGGGUAUGGAUAUGGCUGAUUUAGGAAUGGUUUUAGUUUUGGGCAUUGGUAUUUAAUUUAAUUCCCUUUGCUUUGAGAUUUAUGAAAUCCAAUAUGCCAUUUGUGAUUAUUUUUAAAUCUUUUCUUUUUGUUAUAAAAUUUUAAUGGAUUCAUUUUGAUUUUUCGUUAUACUCCAGGUGCUAGGGGUUAAACUUUUGGCUACUGCAGCUAUUGUUGGGAAACAAACAGGACGUGUGGGCAAUUGAUUUUUUCUUAUCCUUUGGUUAGGUAUUAAAUCCAAUUAAUUGAUUUUUUUUUUCUGUUGAAAUUUUAGUAGUGCACUAAAUUUCUCUGUUACUGAGUAAUAUAAUUUUGUUGACAUUUGAAUAUAGUAUCCUGGUUGCUCUUGGCUAGGUUUGCAGAAUUUUACUUUUGGUUUUAGCCCCUUAAUUGCACCUCUGUUUUGGUUUUGCUUUGCGAUUGUCUUGGUGUAAUGCUUGGACAUGCUGUUGAGUUAAAUUUGUAGGUUUUUUUUAGUUACAAAUUUCGUCUUCGUGGCCUUGAUGCUAUGCUUUUGCAGAAUUCUGCUGCUCUUAAUUGGUUUUGCAAUAUUUUACUUCUCUUGCUUUGGACACAUAGCUGCAUAUUUGUCCUACAUGUAAUUUUGAAUCUUAUUUGCAUGAGUUAGGGGGAUGCUAAGAUGCAUGAGUUAAUUAAUGGUCAGAAUUAGAGAGCUUAUAUUUGGGUUAUUUGGUUAUGCAUAUAAUUUGAUUUGAUACUAGUUGAAAAUAGAUGGCAGAUUUGAAUGUUGAGAAAAGCACUGAAAUUGCAUUUGAAUAUAUAGGGAUUCAAAAUGAAAGGUUUUAAAUUUGAUAUGGUUAUCUGGUAUUUAUAAUAGAUUUUUUCUAAUGAGGUAGAUUCAAAGGACGAGAAUGCGAAAGAAAACUUGUUUGAAUAUAAAGGUGUGAGAUGGUUAUUAUCUAUUGUGGCUGCUAUUUGCUGAUGUUAAUUUGCUGCAUCCUAUAGUUCAUGAUUCAUGUAUGUAUGGCUGUGAUGUGUCAGUACAGAAAAUUUUUACCCUUCUUGAACAUUCUGCGAGAAAAAUAUUUCUAAUGAUUCUGUAACUACAAAAAUUUGAGUUGAUUACUUCUGUGUGAGAGUGGUGCCUUGGUGGGCUGAUGCCGUGAUUAGGGGUGUGCAAACGGUCGGUUC